rnacentral:rRNA from 1 species
AAGAAAAAAGAACACGUGGCGGGGCCUACACAUGCAAGUCACGCGCUUCGGGUGAGCGGGGACGGGUUAGCUAAACGCGUGGGAACGUGCCCUUCUCAUACGGCAAUAGCCUCUGGAAACGGAGAGUAAUACCGUAUACGCCCUUUGGGGGAAAGAAUUUAUCGGAGAAGGAUCGGCCCGCCCGGUUUAAGAUUAAGGUAGUUUUGGGGGAUUUGGAGGGGGUAACCGAGCCAUUACCCCAAGCCUACGAUCUAAUUAAGGCCUUGGUUUUAGAAGGAUGAUCAGCAACACUGGGACUGAGACACGGCCAACUCCUACGGAGGCAGCAGUGGGGAAAUCUUAGACAUGGGGGGCACACCCCUGAUCUAGCCAUGCCGCGUGAGUGAUGAAAGGGUGCCUUAGGUCGAAAGUCUUUCGCCUGUGAUGAUAAUGACAGUAGCAGGUAAAGAAACCCCGGCUAACUCCGAAUGCACAGCAGCCGCGGUAAUACGGAGGGGGUUAGCGUUGAUUCAGGA